rnacentral:lncRNA from 10 species
GGCCAGAUAAGAGAAUAAAAGCAGGCUGCCCGAGCCAGCAUUGACAACUCGCGGGGAUUGUUUUCCACACCGUGGAAGCUUUGUUCUUUUCGUUUUUUGCAAUAAAUCUUGUUGCUGCUCGCUUUUUGGGUCCACAUUGCUUUUAUGAGCUGUACCACUCACCGUGAAGAUCUGCAGCUUCACUUCAGAGCCUAGCGAGACCACAAGCUCACUGAGAGGAACAAACAACUCCAGACGCGCUGUCUUAAGAGCUAUAACACUCACCGCGAAGGUGUGCAGUUUCACUCCUGAGCUAGUGAGACUACGAAGCCACUGGAACGAAGAAACUCCAACCACGUUUGAACAUCAGAAGGGGCAGACUCCAGACGCUUCAUCUUAAGAGCUGUAACACUCACUGUGAAGGUCUGCAGCUUCACUCCUGAGCCAGCGAGACCACGAACCGAUCUGAACAUCAGAAGGGACAGACUCCAGAUGCCCCACCUUAAGAGCUGUAAUACUCACUGCAAGGGUCUGCAGCUUCAUUCUUGAAGUCAGACCAAGAACCCAGCAAUUCCCAACACACAGGGACCAGCUUCUUUCCUAACUCACUUAGGCUCUUCGUGCUGCUCUGGCAACUAACACCCUUGGCUGCAGGGGCUUGGACACUACCCUUAGUCACUGACAAUUGUGUGAAGGCUGCUGUCGUUAACUUCACUUGAUCACCUUAGGCUCCUGUGAAGUGGUGAGCAAUUCAAACAAAUUCCUGUCGUCAAAUCAUAAUCCUGAUUUUGUUUGGAAGGACAGCGUGCCUGGUUCCAGAUGGAGAAAUUGCACUGCAGAGAAAUCUUUAAAAGCAAUUACCUAAUACUGCAGAUUGCUGAACUGUACCCACACCCAAGACUGAGCAUUGGAUCAAUCCAGAAUAUACAUCAGGUGUUCUGCAAUGUCUGCCUAAAACCAUGACUCUGCCUCCUCCAGCUGUUGCUACAUCUCACUAUGGGUUUCCUGUGACAUUUUGAGCAAGUAUGCCUCUGUGACUGGGGUUCUUACACUCCAGAAUGGAUGAGAAGCACCGUAAGUGGCUUUUAAAAUGAAUAUUCCCUGGCCCUUCAGUCGCUCUAUAGGUCAAGAAUCUGAAUUCUCAACCUGUCUAGAAGGUUCUGGUUUUAAUGGUCUGUGGGCUGCACAUUGAGAAACCUGUUCAGCGAGUGCAACAAAGGUUCCACAUGUGAGAAAGGAAGCAUCAGGUCUCUUGAGCCUGUUCUUUAAUCUGUAGGCUGCACCUUCUCUUUAAAUUCUGCUAAUAACACCAUGCGAGAAAACACCCGAGCUUGAAAAGCCCAUGUUCCAACAUAACUGUCCUUCACCACUCUGGAAAAUUAAUGGUUUGUUUCGAUUAUCCCUUUGUUAAACUCCAAAGUCAAAGAGCUCUGAAAGGCAUACGGUUAUUUUAAGUUUCAGGUGAUUUCUGUUGCCAAAUAUUUUAAAAAUUUAAAAUUGCUACGUGACCUCUUAGUAGUACUAUUAGAUUUCCUGACAAUAAAAAUAAGUCUUUUGGUUUCACCAUUUAUAGUUAGUACAGCUAAUAUUAAGUAUAAUUUUAAAAGCCUUUUAUUUUCUCAGAAAGAAAAAAUAAUCAAAAUCUGCUCAGUGUGGUAUUGAAUAAUUAAAAACAAAAGAACAGUAUCUUCACAUUAGUGUUUAAUAUUAAUUGCUUUUUUACCCUUGACACUGGUGCUAAUUAAAUUUUCAUUUUAUUUUCCAUGACUUGUUUAAACAGUUUUUGCAAAUUAUUGCUAAUCAGCCUAAUAAAACUGAAUCACCUAUUAAACAAUUUUGUUUUGAAUUAAAUGGCAUUAAAAUAAUUCUGGCUGCCUUGUGUUAUAAUGUGUUACAAGAAUACCAACCGCUACAGGUAAUAUGCCUUAGCUUUUACACAUGCUUUAAAUAAAUCUACGGAUGUAUUUACCUACAUGCACAAACAUGCAAAGAGGCAGUGUUGGUUAGUUGAAUGGGUUUCCGGCUGGAUUUAUUUCCCGUCUACUGUCUUCUCAAGAGGAAAUCUAAGGCAAAUCUCUUCAACAACCUGAAACUUGGUUUUCAUCAUCAGCAAAAUAAGG